UAAUUCUUGUGUCUUUCAGCCUGUUUCUGCCUAUCACCAUGAGUGAUUCCUUGAUACUCAUAUUUAUCAUCAAGAUCUCAAUUAUAAGCUCAAGUCUUGAUGACAACUUGAUGAUCUGCAGGAAGCACCACCAUGUAUAGAGGGCAAAGACCACUCUGGAAUCAGUCAAGGCUCAUAGGAACUCCAAUCUUCCCAACUGUGAGAGGGCCUUGCUCCAGUGACUGUUGGAUUGCAGUGACCAGACAUGCUACUGUAACUCUCAUGGUCAUGUGCUGGAAUUAGCAGAUAUUCAACAAUUUGGCCAUCUUGCUGACCUAUUGAUAUCAGAAGACCACAACAGCUCUGCAAAGCAAGUUGGAAAACAGAAUCCAUGAAACUGGCAGUGACCGGAAACCAGUUAGAAGACUUUGGUCUGUGACGUAGAGGAGUGGGCAGACGCAGAAGCAAAGACGACAAACAACAGAAGUGAUAUGGAUGUCUUCGUCAUAUGGCAUGACUCUGCUGACCCAGCAACAAAGAGGAGGGUGUUCAACAUCAUCCUGCUAGUCAGGAUUCUUCAGAAGCAGUGGAUUCUUGUGGCAGAGAUGGCCAACCACUAUAAAUACAUUUCAACUCAUCCUGGUUCCUUCAAAGAACUUUCCUGCUUGUUUGCUACUGAAAAAUUCGACAUGUGGCCUAAACGAAGAGGGGUUAAAAGGUCUAUGGAUCAUCAUUCUCAGAAAGCAACAAAAUAACUGAGAAAUAAACAACAAUACGAUGGUGCAAUCUAGAGACCUACAAGGUACCUGC
ensembl:processed_transcript